UGCAGAGGCGAGUGUAUUGGUGUACUUAGGUGCACAAGAUUGAAAACAAUUUGUUCUGAAAAAAUGCAGAUGAAGAGUUGUUUGUUGACAGUAUAGAUGGUUUGCUUUUAAACCUCUUACCACUCACAGAGUCCCCGGUGACGGUCUAGCUAUGUCAGAUGCCAGUCAUUUAAGAGACUAAUCAUUUUUUGGAAUUUAAAUUGUGCUAACUCACUUUGUUCAACACAGCCCAGAGUAACAUUAAAAAUAAAACAUAUUAGAACUAAUUUUGUUGGACGCAAGAAAAACUGGAGCAUCUUUGUAGGGAGCCAAACUAGGGCUUACAAGUUUUGCAGUGACUUUGCUAUCUGCACAGAGCGUUUCUGGUGUGGCUUAUGCAAAAGAGAAUUGCAACAAUACAGCGUGUUUCUCUGCUCCCUUUCACACACCAUGGGUUGAGCCAUUCCUGCAAACCCUGUUGAUGGACGAUGCAGUGGACAGUGGGAGGAAGCAUCCUAAAGCUCUCUUUGCAGACCAGCCUGUGUGAUUCUCCACUUGCCGACCAGAAAAGACAAACGGCAGGUCUCAGUUGCAGCACCUCAUCCAUCCAUGUCUGAUCUUGCAUCGGCAGAUUCAGCAACACAGCCAGAGACUUCCUGUAAUCUAUUACAGUUGUUAAAAAAACGGUACAGGAACAGGUCGCUCAGGUUAAUCCUGUAUAAACAACUGCGCCUGCGCUACUGUGCAUGUAUGAAGUGGACCAACUUGUCAUCAGGUAGAACUGGACCCAGUUGUGAAAACCAAUGAUUUCCGUUCCUGAUUUUGUCUGGCCAACAAAGAGUCCAGGCUGGUGAUGAUCAAUUUAAGAACAGAAACACACACUUCUUACCAAAGAAAUGAAGAUUAUUUUACAGUGUUGCUGAAUCACAUGGAUGAAUUUAAUACCUGGGCACAGUUAUAGCGUGAUGACUGGCAGGAGGAGAUCUCACCCUGUGU